rnacentral:lncRNA from 1 species
AUGUGCGGGUUUGCACACUUUGUGUGCACCUGGAGGUCUGUGCGUGUGCAAGGGGCCGUUUGCACGCAGGCGUGCAAGCCGUGCACACGGAUUCAUGCAAAGCCAGCUUGGCUUCCAGUGUGGGCGUGCAAGGCGUGCACAACAGAUCCGUGCGAGGAGGGAUUUGCACGCAGCUGCGCGGAAGGGUUGCGUUGCACGGGGGGGUGGUGCGUCGGCGUGCAACGUGAGCGUGCAAGGAGCUGCGUUUGCUGCAGGUGGGAGCAAAUGGUGCAAAGGGGGGGGGUGGCAGCAAACACGGAAUGCAAUGAGUUGCAUUGCAAGCAGCAAAAAAGUUGCAUUGCAGACACUGCAUGCAUUGCAGUGCAUUGCAGACAGAACAGGUUGCAUUGCAUUGCAGACAGCAAACGGGUUGCAUUGCAUUGCAAACACAGAACAGGUUGCAUUGCAGACACUGCAUGCAUUGCAGUGCAUUGCAGACACAGAACAGAUUGCAUUGCAAACACAGAAUGCAUUGCAUUGCAUUGCAGACACAGAACAGGUUGCAUUGCAUUGCAGAGAGCAAACAGGUUGAAUUCCAUUGCAAAGAGGUUGCAUUGCAGACACAGAACACAGUGCAUUGCAUUGCAAACAGCAAACAGAAUGCAUUGCAUUGCAGACAGCAAACAGGUUGCAUUGCAAAUACUAAAGGCAUUGCAUUGCAAACACAGAAUGCAUUGCCUUGCAUUGCAAACACAGAACAGGUUGCAUUGCAGACACAGAAUGCAUUGCAUUGCAUUGCAAACACAGAACAGGUUGCAGUGCAUUGCAAGCAGCAAACAGGUUGCAUUGCAUUGCAGACAGCAAACAGGUUGCAUUGCAAAUACUAAAGGCAUUGCAUUGCAAACACAGAACAGGUUGCAUUGCAGACACUGCAUGCAUUGCAUUGCAUUGCAAACACAGAACAGGUUGCAUUGCAGACACUGCAUUCAUUGCAUUGCAUUGCAGGGAGCAAACGUUGCAUUGCAUUGCAGACAGCAAACAGGUUGCAUUGCAUUGCAAACAGCAAACGGGUUGCAUUGCAUUGCAAACACAAAACACGUUGCAUUGCAUUGCAAACACUGCAUGCAUUGCAUUGCAUUGCAAAUACAGAACACAUUGCAUUGCAUUGCAAGCAGCAAACAGGUUGAAUUCCAUUGCAAACAGGUUGCAUUGCAGACACUGCAUGCAUUGCAGUGCAUUGCAAACACAGAUCACGUUGCACCGCAUUGCAAACACCAAACUGAUUGCGUUGCAUUGCAAAUACCCAACAGAUUGCAUUGCAUUGCAAGCACCCAACAGAUUGCAAUGCAAAUACCCAACAGGUUGCAUUGCAUUGCAAAUUCCAAGCAGGUUGCAGUGCAAAUAACCAAAAGAUUGCAUUGCAUUGCAAAUUCCAAGCAGGUUGCAAUGCAAAUACCCAACAGAUUGCAUUGCAUUGCAAAUUCCAGGCAGGUUGCAGUGCAAAUAACCAAAAGAUUGCAUUGCAUUGCAAGCACCCAACAGAUUGCAGUGCAAAUACCCAAAAGAUUGCAUUGCAUUGCAAGCACCAAAGAGGUGGUGUUGCAAGUACUGACCAGAUUGCAUUGCACUGCACACCCAGAACAGUUUGCAUUGGAAACACAGAUUGCAUUGCAUUGCAAACACAGAUUGCAUUGCAUUGCACAUCCAGAACGCAUCGCAUUGCAAGCACUGAAUGCAUUGCACACCCAGAACAGGUUGCAUUGCAUUGCACACCCAGAAUAGAUUGCAUUGCAAACACAGCACAAAUUGCAUUGCAUUGCACAACCAGUACAGAUUGCAUUGCAGACACAGAAUGCACUGCAUUGCAAACACAGCACAGAUUGCAUUGCAAACACAGAUUGCAUUGCAUUGCACACCCAGAACACUUUGCAUUCCAUUGCAAACCCAGCACAGAUUGCAUUGCAUUGCAAACCCAGAACAGAUUGCAUUGCAAACACAGAUUGCAUUGCAUUGCAUUGCAUUGCAAACCCAGAACAGAUUGCAUUGCAAACACAGAUUGCAUUGCAUUGCAAACCCAGAACACAUUGCAUUGCAAACCCAGCACAGAUUGCAUUGCAUUGCAUUGCAAACACAGAAUGCAUUGCAAACCCAGCACAGAUUGCAUUGCAUUGCACACCCAGCACAGAUUGCAUUGCACUCCCAGAGCACAUUGCAUUGCACACCCAGCACAGAUUGCAUUGCAUUUCAUUGCAAACACAGAAGUCAUUGCAUUGCACACACAGAUUGCAUUGCAUUGCAAACCCAGAACACAUUGCAUUGCAAACACUGAAUGCAUUGCAAUCCCAGCACAGAUUGCAUUGCAUUGCACACCCUGAACAGAAUGCAUUGCACACCCACAGCAGAUUGCAUUGCACACCCAGAUCAGAUUGCAUUGCAAAUACUGACCAGAUUGCAUUGCAUUGCAAAUCCAGAACACAUUGCAUUGCACACCCAGCACAGAUUGCAAAGCACUGCACACCCAGAACAGAUUGCAUUGCAAACCCAGAUUGCAUUGCAUUGCAAAUCCAGAACACAUUGCAUUGCAAACGCAGCACAGAUUGCAUUGCAUUGCACACCCAGCACAGAUUGCAAAGCACUGCACACCCAGAACAGAUUGCAUUGCAAACCCAGAUUGCAUUGCAUUGCAAAUCCAGAACACAUUGCAUUGCACACCCAGCACAGAUUGCAUUGCAUUGCACACCCAGCACAGAUUGCAUUGCAAACACAGAAUGCAUUGCAUUGC